ensembl:lncRNA
GUGGUGGUGUUAAAAAAGAUGAAAAAAAAGAGAUGACAGUCAGGUGACCACGGUAACAAUAAAAAUUCACAAGGCUUGGCUACUGACCAGGAACUUACAUUUUAUGGUCACUGUCUGUACAGCGCAGAACAAAAACACUGUAAUCUGUUUAGGUAAGGUAUUCAAGUCAAAAGAACGAUAUUAUCUAUGGUUUAGGAGAUCUAUGACCAUUAGUGGCCUAGAGCUCUUAUUGUGGACAGAACACAUUUUCUCCAAGUUUGUGGUAAAAGAUAUUGCAGAUAAAGAUGUUGAUGUAGUUUAGGCCUCAUCUGACAUUGAUUUUCUUAGACAAUAGACAAUCAUCGCUGAUGCCACAGUUAACACUAUUCAUUUUUAUUCAAUUUCAUUGAUUGAUUGAUUGAGUUGGCAUUUGAUUCAACCCGAGCAUUAGAUACUCCUUUUACGCAUCUAGAGCUGCAGCUCUCAGUCCAGCACCUUAAGUCAACCUGCCCUGAAAAUGUAUAUUAUCUAUCUCCUCUCCACACACACCUGAUUGCAUCAAGUGUGCAUUCACGAAAAGUUCAGACAGGUACGCAGAGCAGGGAAUUAUGGGUAACAUGCAGAGCAGAGAAGGCCACAGACUGAUAACCACACUUCUAAAAUCUUAAUGUAUCUAGAUAUGUACAAUUGUUUAUUUUAUUUGUAUUGAUUUAUUUUAUGGGGGGGGGGGGGGGGGGGGGGGGGGUUGGGUGUAAACCUCAUUCGUGCACAAAAAUGGCUUCGGUUUCUCAGCUGUCCAAUGGGAGCCUUGCCCUCUGAAACUAAAAACAAAACUAAACCAACGAAGAAGAAAGAGAAGGCCCUUUCACUCUAUUCUGUCUAAGCUUUGAAGUCACCCUCCUUUACAUCUUCAAACAAUAAAUGAAAUAAAAAGCACACGUUUGAAGUAAUAUAUUUAUAUUCAUAUACCAGUCAUUCAUUCAAGAACAGUAACAUGUACAAAACUGGGUUGAAUGUUCUUCAUGACAAAAAUAGACCACACAAAAACUCGAUAAAGGCCUUGUAAUCAAAAGGAAUGAGGGCCGUUGUUUUCUAAAAGUAGACUCGAAGAGACUUGAAAGUCAUGCACAAAAUACUGGCUCGCAUCCGCACAGGAGGAAGUAUGGCUUGUGACACAGUGAUGUUUUUCCAGCGAAUGCACCCACCGGUCUGAUGUCAUCCUAGACCUCCAUGCCCCUUUCGCUACAGACGCUAACGCUGGCGAUGCUAGCUCUGACAGAUGUGCCACUGCGGUGAAUGGGCUUGUGACAUGUCUGCUCAAGCCACUUGUCAUAGCGCUAGCAUGACCGUAUCACAAAUAGGGCACGACCAUUUACAUCCACAGCACUGUCAUAAACCACACAACGGCUCACGGUUUGUUUUUUUUUGUUUUCGUGGGCCAAGUUAACUCCAGAUUUGAAUUGACGUCGUGGACUCUGCAGUCUUGUCUCGAGGAAGUCAUAUCUCUCUUAUUCCAGGAAUAUGGGAGGUUUUAAAAGACUAAAGACAAUCUAGAUGGGUUGAUUGUGUCUGGCAGAGUCUAAGGUCCACAGAGCUAUGGCCAGCAAAGGGAUACUGAGAAAGAUACUCCUGACUGUCAGAGUAAACCACCAGCAAUAAACGACACAGAGAUUGGAACCAAUUUCAGUAUAUCAAUCAAGGGCAUUUACAGUAUAUUAACAUGGCGAGAGACAAAGAAAGAGCAUCCAUAAUUUUCCACUAUAACACAAGGUCCUCGCACACACUCAACAGGAAUAAUAUUAGAUGAAACAAGAAGCUCUGAAAAUGUUCACUUGAUUAUAAAAAUACUUCUAUAUUCCUCUUCAAAAUAUCUAAAAUGUACAGUGUUGUAAUUUUUUAAUUCACCUUUAUUUUGGCAAGUCAUGCGUCAACCUCGAUCAUAAUAUCCUUAAUAAUAGUGUAUUUUUUUAUUAUAUAUAUAUAUAUAGGAUAAUAAUAAUAAUAAUUAUGACAACAAGGAUAAUAAUAAUUCAGUAACAUUUUAAUGAAAGGAGCUGGGCAUAUGUCCCUAUGAGCUAUGCAUACUGCAUUCAAUAAAACCAUCAGUCUACUGAUUAGAACCACAUCUAAUGACAGCUAUUUAAAGUCACAUUCCUUGGUAAUCACUCAAAGCUACACUCAAACUACCCUGAACCAUGUUUCUUGGAUAUCAUUCACCAAACUGUGUCUGCUCAGUGAGCUGAAAACAUUGGCAGACUAAAGCCUCCAUUUUGUUGUUUUUGUUGAAAAAAUAAACAAAAAAAAAACAGAACUGGGGCUGACAGUAGCUACUCUUGGGUUUCUCACAGUGUUGGUGUGUGUGAAUGUGAAUGUGUGUGUGUGUGUGUGUGAGUGUGUGUGUGUGUGUGUGUGUGUGUGUGUGUGUGUGUGUGUGUGAAUGUGAAUGUGUGUGUGCGUGUGAAUGUGAAUGUGUGUGUGUGUGUGUGUGUGUGAAUGUGAAUGUGUGUGUGUGUGUGUGUGUGUGUUAGUGUGUGUGCUAUCUGGCUCCGCCCCACUGCAAAACCCUGAAGUUAAGUCUCUGCUGUCGUCGAGCUCAGCUGAGGGAUUGUCUUGCGAUAGCAAUCUCAAUCUUUGCUAUUUCUUUCAUCAGUGACUCCAGCGUUCACUUCUGGAGUAAGCACUUCAGACUGAAGACACUCCGUCACGAGGUGUCACACACAUGAGCUCCUUUGGUUAAAAUUUUACAGGUCAUUCAGUCUCACCCCAGUUGAAAGGCGUUGCUCAUAUGAGUACUAUAAAACCAUGAUUGUGGCCCACCCCAGCGCCCUUAACACCCUCAUAAGCAUCAUAAACCUACAGACACACACACUAACUGCACACCUGCACCAACGUGAACAUCAAAGCUCUGCUGAGGAGGGUGUUAAGGUUUGGGCUGGCAGAGAACGUAGCUCUUACAGUGGGCUCUUCAAAAGAGGUGUUAACAGUACUUCUUCUGGCACGUAACAGUAGAAAAAAAGAAGGGAGGAAGAGAGGAGAGAAGGGAGGGAGGGAGGGAGGUAGAGAGGAUGAUCUUGUGUGAUGGAGGCAGAAGGGGUCUUGAGUGUCCAUAAAUCCAGGGAGGUGUUUUUACCUGGGAGCAGAAAAGAGAAAACACGCAUUACUGUGGGUGACUGUGAGAAAGCACACACACACACACACACACACACACACACACACACACACACACACACACACACACACACACACACAUGCGUGCGUGCACACACACGCAAACGCACACACACACAAAAGCACACACACAAAAAAGCACACACACACAGACACACACGCACACAAACUUCCCAAGUAAUAACGUGUAUUUUGACUAGCAAUAGAAAUAACUAUAAAUCGUAUUGCGCAAACAUAGCUCUUAGCUCUUUCAAAAUCGCUUUAUAGCAAAUAUUACAAAAAGGCUCAAAAACUCACACAUUAAUCAUGAAAACACAUACACACACAUAUACAUACACACACACACACACACACACACACACACACACACACACACACAUACAAACAAAAACACUCUCACACACACACACACACAUCUAAGCACCCACCAGUGGUCCACUGUAGGGCUAGAGAGGUCUGGAACCCCCCUGGUUGGACUGCUGAAGCCACACAACACUCCAUCAAGGCCAGUCCUAGCCACCAUCACACAAAAGGAACCUGUGAGAGACACACACACACACACACACACACACAUACACACACACACACACACACACACACACA